UUGUCUGGCACUGUCGUAUGUGUGAUGGUAUGAAACUAAUUUUCUUCCUGCUAAUCUUAUUUCAGAUCAACACGGAAUUUCAAAAGAAUCACAAUUGUCCCAUUUCAAUCCAAGUUCCUGUCUCCAAGCAAUGAUUAAGCAAAUUACUGAUUGUGAUAUAGAUGCUGGCCGAGUGUCUCCUGAAGGGACUCUGUAUCUACACGGGGAACGAUCCUGAAAACUUUGUGCAGGAAUAUGUGGGCAUGGAUGAAGUUGAUGUCAUUGAAGACAACUGUUGGGGUUUAUGUCCUGAAAGAACAUGAGUCAAGUGAACCA